UACGUAGGGUCCGAGCGUUGUCCGGAAUUAUUGGGCGUAAAGAGCUCGUAGGCGGUCUGUCGCGUCGGUUGUGAAAACCCGGGGCUCAACCCCGGGCCUGCAGUCGAUACGGGCAGACUAGAGUGUGGUAGGGGAGACUGGAAUUCCUGGUGUAGCGGUGAAAUGCGCAGAUAUCAGGAGGAACACCGGUGGCGAAGGCGGGUCUCUGGGCCAUAACUGACGCUGAGGAGCGAAAGCGUGGGGAGCGAACAGG
rnacentral:rRNA from 1 species